rnacentral:tRNA from 3 species
ACUAAGGUGGCAGAGUUUGGUAAUUGCAAAAGGCCUAAGCCCUUUAUGCCAGAGGUUCAAAUCCUCUCCUUAGUU